CUUAACCCACGGAACCAGGCCAGGGAUCGAGCCCGCAAUCUCAUGGUUCCUAGUUGGAUUCGUUAACCACUGCACCACGACGGGAACUCCUCCUUACCAAUUCUUAAAACCAUGAACUUUCAGUUUUCAUGUUUUAGAGAACACCUAUGAUUCAUGAGCAAUGACACAUAGUAUUUAUUAUGAUUGUUCAAGCACAGUAGUGACCAUGAAAAUUCUGCAGCUAUCUUGUAAGAACAUGUUAUUACCAGACAAUGGUCUUGAGCUUGGAGUACUGCAGGUAUUUGAAUGGUGUCGAUUUCAUAAUGAUGGAAAGACCAAGAUUGUUUGCUGGUACAGCAAGCUGUGUCUUGUACACAUGUAUCUUAAUGUGCUUUUCCAGUUCCUUUCAAAAGAGGGACAUUCUGAGGACAUUGCUCUUGUCCAGGUAAGUAUUCUGGUGCACCUUCCCUAAUCAGACCAUCACAUCUUUAAAUAUGGAGGUCAGUGUUAGGUUUGACUAAACUUAUUUUACCAUGUGGUUUUAUUUAAGGUAAUCAGGUAAGAAAUGAUUGUAUUUUUACCAAUUGUAGAAAUCCUGAUAUGCUGCUAUUUUUGAUUUUUUUUCCCCACUUAGUCAUGGGAAUGUAGAGUGGACAGUGUGUAUCCAUCCACACCAUGAUGGUGGAAUUAUGUGGCACAGUCGCCACCAUGGUGCUUUUGCAAGUGAGCUGGGAAGAGAUGAUUAAGUGUUGAACUUAGACCUUGAGUCCUGCAUGAGACCAAGGAGCACUGAUAGGUCCUGCAGUGAUGGCCACACACAAGGUUAUUUGAAGUGUCCUAGUAGAAAUGGUGCAUCCACAGACAUAUCUGUUGCAAAGGAUUUUUUACAUUCCUGUCAAGACAUCACAGUGAAUUUCAAAAUGAUCGUGAAUGGGAUUUUGCUUAUCUCCAGGUAAGUGAUGCUGGUGGCCUUUAGCACCUAUAGUCUGAUCUUCAGAUAUUAGGUACAUGUGGAGGGCGUUUCUGACUCUUCUGCUACCAUGUUUUUUUUAAAGCAAUUCUUCAUUUAAGAAAUGACAUUGUCAAUCACAAUUUUGUAAAUCAACUAUAUUUCAAUAACUCUUGAAAAAAUAGAAAAAAAAUGACAUUGUUCCAACCAGUGCUAGUAAGUAUUUGCCCCGAUUUUUUUAGAGUAUUGAUAUAAUGUAUGUUUAAAUUUAUAUUGACUGAUAGAUUAUGAACGUCCAGGUAACUUAAACUACUGUUGCAAUCUUAACCAUGACAUUCUACAGAUUUUCCUAGAAGAGAUGAUAGGCGCCUCACAAUGGUUUUGACCUUCAAGUUCUUCUAAGAUCCUGGUACUGCUUAAUCUUCUCAUAAUGAUGGAAAUGAACAGGAUUAUUUGCAAAGAUAGUUAUUUUCAGUGUAAGCUGUGUAUUUCUCAGGGUUCUAGCCAUUAUCAUGACAUCACAAUGAACCAAAUAAUAGUUGUCACUGAGACCUUGCUAGAAACCAGGUAUGGGAUAAAGUGGCUCUUAGCCACUACAGAUCACUAGAUGUUCACAUAUCAAGGCAAGUGAGAAUGGUAUCUCUAAUAUGGUGUAUCAUGCUUUUUUGUAGGUUUCCUGCUAAGUCCUUGGCCGAGUGUACAGGUAUGAAUGAUGACACAUUAAUUCAAUAGAUACCUUCUUAUUUGCAGAUACACAGGUAGUUGAUGAUAUUUUGAAGGCUUUUAAACUGUUUUUGGCAUGGAUCAUUUCGGAAAUUAAUUUGUCCUCAUGGUAUUAGUAAACAUUAGAAAUUACUGUAUUCUUGUUCAGGGAUCAUUUCUUUUUACACUACUGUGAUGGUAUCCAGGUAAUUUAUUACAUUUUCCAACCCUACAAUAUUGAACACGGGAUUCUUGCAGGUAUCCCUUCAAAUGAGGAAAGUCCUCUUAUUAGGUUUACACCUGGGAUUUCUGCAAUUACCCAAAUCAGGUUUGUGCAUCCAUAAAUGUCAUAAUUGACCCAGAGAAUUUGCAGGUGCCCAGGUAGAAUGAGAUGUGUACUGAACACAUUUUGUACAAUGUGUUUUUCAGAGUCAUGUCAAGAUAUCUAGAUGAGCUUAAAAUGACAGGUAAUGGGUGACCUGGCUGGUGUCAAGGUAAGUGAUUGUCUGCACCUAAAGCACAGAACAGGCUACCUGACCUUCGUAUAUCCAGGAAAGUGAUGAUGUGUCCUCACGUUUAUGUUAGCACGAUGUUUUCUGCAGGUAUUCAGGUAAGAAAUGAGAGAGUAUUACUAAUUUUAGAAAACAUGAGAUUUCAUUUUUUAGAUGAGACAAAGUUGAAGUGUCCCCUGUGAGUGUUGAAGGGUCGCACAUAUCUAGAUUUCAUUCAUGGUGUGUCUGCCCCAGUACUAGCCAUAGAUUUUGUGCAGGUGUCCAGGAAAGUAAUGGUGAUUUUAGCUGACAUCAGUAUUGAUCUUUGAUUACUGAAAAUAUCCAGGGAUUGUUGGUGUGUUCCAUAAUGAUUAAGUGACCAGGUUAUUUGCAGAUAUCCUGAUAGAAAAAGUUGUUUCCUUUCCCACAGUUUUUGUCAUGUCUUUUUCAGAUUCCUGUUCUAGAGCCCUGUAAACCUGGCAGUGGUGAUAAUAGGGGAUGCUGUUGGGAUGCAGGUAAGUGAUAAUGUGGGCCUAAAUCACAGCCCAGGGCAUGUGAUCCCCAGCUAGCCAGGUGAAUGAUGAUGGUGUCUCUAAGAGGUGUUAUUACCAUGUUUUUUGCUAGUUUUCAGGAAGGAAAUUAUCUGGCCCUUACUAAUUCUAAAAGCAUUUCAUUUCCACCGAUUAUAAUUUAGAGAACAUUGUGAUCGAACCCCAUGAAGGUUGAGGGAUUGCCAUUUCCAGGUAAUUAUCAUGAUGUCCUCAAUCAGCAGUAAUCAUGGCAAUUUUGCAGGUGGCCCAUACAGAAAAUUGUCUUACUGGCAAUAAUUUAGGCCUUGGAGAACUGCAAGUGUGGAGGUAGAAUUGGUGUCUUCAUAAUGAGACAGUGACCAAGGUCACUGCAGUUGUCCUGGUCAAAUAAUUACAUCCCUUUACGCAUUUAUGUGUUUUUCAGGCUCCUAUCAAGUGGUCUCUGUGAACCCGACAGUGGUCAUUAAGGAGGGAACAUUUCUGGUCUCCAGAUGUGUUAUGAAACGUACAUUCAGUGCAUCACUAGAUACAUGGAGGAUCUUCAUGUAUCUAGUUAAGUGGUAUUGGUUGCUUGAACUCGUUUUAUCAUGUGGUUUUUUUUCAGGUACUCAGUUAGAAAUGAUAAUAGUAUUUUUGCCAGUUCUAGCAAUCAUAUUAUCUUAUUUUUAUGUUUAAGAGGAAAUUUGCUUUUAACUGUGUGAGUGUUAGGCGAUCCAUGGUUAUUCAUCUAAGAAACAUGGACUUUGGGUUCACAGAAGUUACCACGAUAUUUUUGCAGGUAAACAGUGAAACAUGAUGGUGUCUAACAGUGGUAUGAACUCCAGGUAGAGUUGAUGGGUCCCGCAUCGAUGGACAUGAACAAGGUUAUUUGCAGUGUCCUCUUAGCAAAGGUAUUGUGUAGACAUAUUUAUCCCAAUUUUUCUUCAGAUUUCUAUUCAGAAAUCAUAAUGAUCAUAAUGGCACUUUGCUUUUAUCUGGCUAAGUGAUGAUGUGGUUCUUUAUUCCCCUACAGAUAAUCUUCCCAUCUGAUAUGUAAGUAAGUCUGGAUAGUUUUCCUAAGUUUUCUGUUACUAUGUUUUGUUUUGUUGUGUUUUGUUUUUUACAGGUAUUCAGUUCAGAAAAAAUAUUGUCCCAACCAAUACUCAUAAUCACUUUAUAGUUUAUAUAUGAUUUGUGUUUAACCUUAGCAGUGUUGGGGGGUUAUCCAGGUAAGUUGUCCUGUUCCACACCACCAUGAGAUUUUUACAGGUCUUCAGAUAAGAAAUGAUGGUUUCUUUAACAAUGAUGUUGAACUUGAAGUUCUUCCAAGAUCUACAAAAUGUUGAUGGUUCCCUUAGUGAUAGAAAUAAGCAGAAUUAAUUACAGAUAUCCUUUAGGUAAAAGGAUUUUUUUUCCCUAAACCCCCUUAUCAAUGUGUUCUUACAGGUUAUAGUAGUGAUGACACUAUAGCCAACCUGGUAAUGGUCAUUAAUGGGACCCUGCUAGUAACCAGGUAAGUGAUAUUGAGGGUCUUACCCCACAGUAUAGACCAACUGGUCUUCAGAUGUCUCUGUAAGUGAGGAUGAUGUCCCCAACACCAGACACAGCGAAUCCGGGGGUGGGGGGGGGUUAUUGCAGAUAUUCUGUUAAAGUGUUUGCUAGUGUCAAGGUGUGAGAUGUCACAUUCAUAUCUAGGUGAGUGAUGGUGUGGGCCUAACCCACGUCAUAUCUCAUCUUCAUGUGUAAAGGUAAGUGAGGUUGCAUGUGUUUCUAACACUUCUAGUUAGCAUUUUAUUGCAGGUAUUCAGGUAAGGUAAGGGUUCACGCUAAUUCCAGUAACCCUGAGUUUAUAUUUUUCGUGAUUUAAGGAUGACUAAUGUUUAACCCUGUGGGUGGUAUGAGUUGAUCAUAUCUGGUCAAUGUCAUGGAGUUCCCACCACAGUAGUAACCAUAGGAUGUGUGCAGGUGUCCAGUUAAGAAAAGAAGGUCUCUCCUGACAAUGGCAUGGACCUGAAUUAAUGUACCUACCCAAGUAGAGUUGAUGAGUUCCAUAAUAAUGGAGGUACACAAGUUAGGUGCAGGUGUCCUGGUAGAACAAGUUGUAUCUUCAGACACAUGUGUUGCAUGUGUUUUUUCAGGAUCUUGUCAGGGGAACACAGUGAACCUACAAUGCUUGCUAUGGGAAACUUGUUCUUAACCAGGUAAGUGAUAAAGGGAGUCCCACCAUAUUGAUGUCUAUCUGAUCUUGAAUGUGAAGGUAAGGAAGGAAUGUGUCCAGAGCACUCAUGUAAGCAUGUUUGUUUGUAGGUAUCCUGUUAAGGUCUUUACAAGUAUACAGGUGUGAGAUGAUGUGACAUUAACUCCUUAAAGACAGUCUCAUUUUCAGUUAUCAGUAUAAUUAAUGGUCAAGAUUCUUACAUUUACAUUGUUUUUGGCAUGUGUCUAGUUAGGAAAUUAACUUGACCCUACCUAUAUUACUUUGAAUGAGGUUUUUUGGGGGUUAUUUAGAGAUAAUAUAUAUUUAAUAUGUGUAUUGAUGAACAAAUAUGCAAGGUUAAUCUUAUUGCCAUCACUGAGUUAUUGACUGUGGGAAUUUUUGCAGGUAUCCCUUCAAGAGGAGAAAGUACCUCUUCCCAGGAAUUGACCUUGAAUUCCUGAAACUAGCCAGGUAGUAUCGAUAGGUACCAAAAUGUUAACCAGUGACCAAGGAAACUGACAGCUUUAGAGGUAGAAUGAUUUCUGGACCGCAAACAUUUCCCACAGUGGGUUUUUCAGAUUCAUGUCAUGACAUCAUGGUAAUCCUGAUAAUGGUCAUUAGUAUGUCAUUGCUGGUAUGGAGAUGAGUAAUCCCGUAGGCCUAAUCCACAGUAUCUUCCAUUUGGCCUUCCUCUAUGUAAGUAGUGAUGUGUCCUUCUACUUCUUGUUACCAUGAUUUAUUGAAGGAAUUGGAAGAGGAAAUGAUAGCAUCUUUCACCACUUUAUGUGGCACCUGUGUUCACUUGUACUAUUUCUGAAAAUGUUCAUUUUUAACCCUGUGAAUGUUGAUGUUAUUAUAUGAAUAUAGUCCCUGUCACAGUACUAGUCAUAGGAGUUGUACAGAUGUCCUUUCAGAGAAGGAUGGUUUUAUCUGGCGUUGGUGCUGACCUUGGAUUGCCGCAAGUCUCCAGGUAGGAUGAUGUAUAUCCAAAUGAUGAAGUGACCCACAUGAUUGGCGGGUGUCCUGGUAGAAAAAGUUGUGUCCCUUAACAGGCAUUUCCUUUUCUCUUUCCAGGUUCCCAUCUAGAGAUCAUGACUAACCUAACAGUGCUCAUUAUUGGUGAACAUGGCUUGGGUACAGAUAAGUGAUGAUAGGGACCUAAACCACAGCACAGUUCAUUUGAUCUUCACAACUCAUGGUAAGUGGUAUUGAUUGGCUAAACUUGCUUUACCAUGUGAUUCAUUUCAGGUAUUCAGGUAAGAAGUGAGAAUGUCUUAUCAAUUCUAGCAAUCUUGUUGAACUGUUAUCUCUUUUUGAGAAUUUAUUUUUAACCAUUUCAGUGUGGAGCAAUUAAUUCUCAGGGAUGCAGGCCGUACUUCCUGAGUUGUGUGGCAUGGUAAUAACCACGGUGUUUCUGAAGGUGGGCAGUGAAGAGAGGAUGGUACUAUUUUUGUUUGCAUUUAUUAUUUCCGUUUUCUAGGCUUUUUUCUCUUUCCUUUAAAAUAGUUUUUUUUUUUCCUUCAGUUCUUAAACACACUUGUCCUGUUAAGAUCUUUGCUGCUGUCCAGGUGUGAGAUUAUGUGGUAAUAACUUGAAGAUAUUCUCAAUAUUAGUAGUUAGAGAAUCAGUGUUUUCGAGAUUGUUACAUUUACCUCAUUUGUGUCAUGUUUGUUGUUUCAAACUCAAUUUGUCUCUAAUAAUACUGACAAGACUACUAAAAAGAUUUUUGUAUUCAUCUUUAGAGAUACCACGGAUUUCACUACUAAUGAAAGAAUGAUAUGCAUGUAUUCAUGUAAUUAAUCCUAUCGAGCAUCACAGCAGUGUUGGCUCAGGUCAUACUGCAGGGAGCCCUUCAGAGAAGAAGGGGUCUCUUCCUAUGGUUUGACCUCCGUGUCUGCAAGUAGGUCCCUAGUAGUGUUGAUGGGUCUCCAGAUGAUCCUCAAAGUCACCAAUGGAAUUGGGGAUGAAGAGCUGAAAUGACCCUUGUACCAAAUGUAUUUUCUGUCAUAUGUUUUUCAUAUUGAGGCUAAGCCAUCAUGGAAAGCCCAUCCACGGUAGUGAAUGUGGACAUUGUUGGUAUGGAAGUAAGGGGGGAUAGGGUACUGAACCACCACACAGACAGUCAGCAUUCACACAUCUGGGUAAUGAUGAAGUGUCCUCAACUUCUUGAUAUCAUGACUUUUUAUAGGUAGUUAGGUAAGAAAUUGUAGCAACUUUACAAACUUGUAGCCACCAUGUUAUCCUGUAGUUUCGUGUUAGAAAAAUUAGAUUUAAUUGUAAGAUUGUUGAGUGACAUGCAGGUAUUAAUGUGUUUCUUAUAGAUCUGAAAGUCACAGUACUAACCAAGGCUUUAUGCAGAUGCAGAGGCAGCCAGUAUUGUUUAUCCAGCAGUGGCCUAGACCUUGGAGCACUGCAAGCAUCUGGGCUGACUUGAUGAGUCCUGCAGUGAUAGGCAUGACAAAGGUAUUUUCAGGGUCUAGGUAGUAAAGUUGUGUCCAUGGACACAUUUGUCACAAUGUGUUUUCCACAUUCCUCUCUAGAGGUCAUGAUGAACCUCAUAAUCAUCAUUAAAGUGAUGGGGCUUGUAUCCAGGUAAGUAAUGAUGUGGGCCUUUUGCAAGAGACAGACCAUCUACUGUUCCGAUACAGUUAGGUAUGGGUAAUGUGCAUAGCUCUUCUGUUGACUUGCUUUUUGAGUGUUCAGGUAAGAAAUGAUAAUGUCGUAGUUCUAGAAACCUUAACUCUUGAUUUAUUAUAUUUUGGAGAAAAACAGAUGCUUAACACUAGGAAUGCUCUGGGGUGGCAGAUAGAGAGUAAUUUAUUGUAGUUUUUCCCCUUCACGGUGCUACCUGUAGGAUUUUUGCCAGGGUCCAGUCAGGAAAUGAUUAUUGCCUAACAUUGGUGCUGACCUUGAAUUAUUGCAGAUACCCAGGUAGAGUUGAUGUGUCUCAUAUUGGUGAAGUGACCAAGUUUAUUGGCAGGUGUCUUGGCUGAAAAAGUUCUUUCAUGACAUCUCUUUCAGGUUUGCUCAAGAGACCUCAGCGGACUUACCAAUGGUUAGUAAGAGGGACCGUGGCAAGUGUGCAUAUAAGUUGCACUGUGAGCCUAAACCAUAGCACAGUAUAUUUGAUCGUCACACAGUAGGUACAUCAUGCUUGUUUCCGUAAACAUUGUUGUGAUCAUUUUUUUUGCAGCUAUUCAAGCAGGAAAUGAUAAGUCUUACCAAUUACAGAAACACGAGUUUUCCCUUUUCAUAUUUUAGAGCAAGUGUUUGUUAAUCCCUAUGAUUGGUGAGCUCUUGCCACAUUGACUUGAUGUUCAUAAUGUUCUAACCCCAGUGGUAACCAUGACAUUUUGCAGGUGUCUCAUAAUGGAAUGUUGUUGUCUGUGACAAUGGUCUCAACCUUUGGCAUACUGCAAAUAUUGAGGGGGGGUUGAUGUACUCAUAAUGAGGGAAAUAUCCAAGGUCAUUGGAAGAUAUCCUGCUACAAGUUCUGUCCUUUUGACCUGUAGUGUGUAUUUCUCAGGUUAUUGUCAAGAAAGCAAGAUGAACUGAGUGGUUGGUAAAGGGGGUCCUUCCUGGUGUGCAGGUGAGAGAUGACAUUCACCUUCCCCACAUCAGAGCACCUUGCAUUCACAUCUCUGUGUAAGUGCUGUUGAUUGGCUAAGCUUGUUUUACCAUGAGAUUCAUUCAGGUAUUGAGUUAAGAAAUUUAGAGUUUUAUCAGUUCUAACAAUCAUGUUCUCCUAUUGAUUUGUAUUUUUGACCUCGUGAGUAUGGACCAACUCAUAGGUGUGCAGGCUGUGCUGACUGAGUUGUAUGACACAGUAGUGACUGUGGAGUUUCUGCAGGGCGGGCAGGGAAGAGAGGAUGGAGUUUCUUGCAAUGGCAUAGACCUUGGAGUACUACAUGAACCCAGCAAGAGCUGAUGGUGAGUCCUGCAGUGAGUUCAGGGGACAAGGUUAUCUGCAAUGUCCUAGGGAAGAACGUGUUUCCACAGAUGCAUUUUACACAGUUCUUCAAGUUCCCUGGGAAGACAUCAUGGUAAAGAUCAUAAUGACCAAUAAGGAGACUUUGCUUGUGUCCAGGUAAGUGAUGCUCUGGACCUUCAGCACCUACAGACAGUCUCAUUUUCAGAUGUAUGAGCAAGUGUGGGUGGUGCUCCCAGGUUUUAUGUUAUUGUGCUUUUAUGUAAGUAUUCUGUUGAGGAAUUAUAUUAUCCUUGUGCUGAUAUACAGGUAUGAGAUGAUGUGAGACAGUUGCUCGGAAACAUUCUUAAUAUCAGUGUUUACAGAAUUAAUAUUUUAGGGAUUUUAUAAGACUUAGUUUUUGUCAUGUUAGUUGUCAUAAAAUUAAUUUUCCCUAAUAUACUAAGAAAAUACUAAAAAGGUUUUUUAUUCUCUUUUAGCAAUAACAUGGAUUUUACUACUAAUGAAAGACAGACAAGGAUGUAUUCGUGUACGUGUUCCUGUUGAGCAUCACAGCAGUGUUGGCUCAGGGACUAUUGCAGGGAACCCUUCGGAGAAGAAGGGAUCUCUUCCUAGGGUUUGACCUCCGUGUCUGCAAGCAGGUCCCCAGAUUGAGGCUAACCCAUCAUGGUAGCCCAUCCAUGGUAGUGAAAGUGGAUAUUGUUGGUGUGGAGUUGAGGAAGGAUGGGGGACAGAACCACUGCACAGACGGUCAGCAUUUACAUAUCUGGGUAAUGAUGAUGUGUAUUCAGCUUCUUAUUGUGACUUUUUUGUAGGUAAUCAGGUAAGAAAUUGUAGAGACCUUACAAAUUCUAGUUACCAUGUGAUCCUGUAGUUUUAUACUUUAGAAAAAAUUUCUGUUUAACCACAAGUUGUUGACCAACUUGCAGAUAUCCAUGUAAUUUUCAUAGACCUGUGGUGAGUCACAGUACUAACCAUGGCUUUAUGCAGGUUUAAGGCAGCCAGUGUUGGUUUCUCUACCAGUGGCCUAGACCUUGGUGCACUGCAAGAUUCCUGGUUGAUUUGAUAAAUCCUGCAUGGGACUCGAUGGGACAUGAAAAAGUUAUUUUCAGGGUCCAGGUAAGAAAGUUGUGUCCAUAGACAUAUUUGUCACGGUGUGUUUUCCAGGUUUCUAUCUAGAGGUCAUGGUGAAUCUCGUAAUUAUAAUCAAAGGGACGUGGUUUGCUCCACAUAAGUGAUGCUGUGGGCCUUUUGCAUAAGACAGACCAUCUGUUCUUCAGAUACAAGUAUGUGUGGAUAAUGUCCAUAACUGUUGUGUUGCCAUGCUUUUUUGCAAGUAUUUAGGUAAGAAACGAUAGUGUCUUUAUUCCAGAGAUCAUGUCUUGAUUUUUUAUAUUUUAGGUAAAAAUGGAAGCUUAAUACUAGGAAUGCUCUGGGUGGCAGAUCUACAGUAAUUUAUUGUGAGUUUUCUCUCUACACUACUACCCAUGGGAUUUUUGCCAGUGUCCUGUUGAUAAAUGAUCAGUGCCUAAUAUUGGUGCUGACCUUGAAUUACUAUAAGUAUCCAGGUAAAGUUGAUAUACCUCAUAAUGGUGAAGUGACCUAGUGUAUUUGCAGGUGUCCUGGCUGAAAACAUUGUUUGAUAACAUCUCUUUCAGGUUUUUUUCAAGAGUUCCCAGUGGACUUACCAGUGAUCAGUAAGAGGGACCUUGGCAGGUGUGCAGGCAAUUUGUGCUAUGGGCCUAAACCAUACCACAGGUCAUUUGAUCUUCACGUGCUAGAUUGCAGUUAAACUGUCACAGAAAGCCCAUCCACGUGGUGAAUGUGGACCUGGUUGGUGUGGAAAUGAGGGAUGUUGGGGGCCUGAACCACAGCAUAGACAGCCAGCAUUCACUUAUCAACAUAAUGCUGAUGUGUCCUCAACUUCCGGUUAUCAUGAAUUUUUGCAGGUAAUCAAGGAAGAAAUUAUAGAGACCUUACAAAUUCUAGGCACCAUGAUAUCCUGUAGUUUUAUAUUUUAGAAAAUUUUCGGAUAACCGUCAGGGUAUUUAACCACUUGCAGCUUUCCAUGUGAUUGUCAUAGAGCUUCAGAUCGUAAUAGUAAUCACGGCUUUAUGCAGGUGUAAAUACAGCCAAUGCUGGUUUCUCUAAGAGUGGCCUAGACCUUGGAGCACUGCAAGACUCCUGGUUAAUUUGAUAAGUCCUGCACUGAUGGGCAUGACAAUCUUAUUUUCAGGUUCCAGGUAAUAAAGUUGUGUCCAUAGACAUUUGUCACAGUGUGUUUUCCAGGUUCCUGUCUGGAGAUAGAGAUGUACCUCAUCAUCAUCUUUUUUAAAGGGACAUGCCUUGUAUCCAGGUAAGUGACUGAUAUGAGCCUGUUGCAGGUAACAGACCAUCUGCUCUUCAAAUAUGGGUAAGUGUGGAUAGUUCCCUAACUGUUGUGUUGCCACGCUUUUCUUCCAGCUAUUCAGGCAAGAAGGGAUAGUGUCUUUAUUCUAGAGACCAUCAAUCUGGAUUUUAUAUAUUUUAGAGAAAAUGUCUGCUUAACACAGGGGAUCCUCUGGCGUGGCAGAUAUGUAGUUAUUUAUUGUAGUUUUCCCCUCCACAUUACUAGCUAUAGGAUUUUUAGAGGUGUCAAGAAAUGAUCAUGUCCUGACAUUGGUGUUGACCUUGGAUUAUUCCAAAUAUCCAGGUAGAGAUGGUGCGUAUCUCAUACUGGUGCAGUGAUCAAGUUUAUUGGCAGUUGUCCUAGCUGAAAACGUUGUGUCUUUUGACACACGUUUCAUAACAUGUCUUUCAGGUUUCCUUCCAGAGAUCACAGUGGACCUAACAGUGGUCGUUAAGAGGUUCCUUGGCUUGUGUCUGGGAAAGUUGUGAUGCGGGCCUAAAGCAUAACACAGGUCAUUUGAUCUUCACAUGCUACGCAAGGUGUUUGUUAAUCCCUGUGAUUGAUGAAAACCUGCCAUAUUUCUUGAUGAUCAUGAUGCUCCAACCCCAGUGGUUACUGUCAAGAAAGCAAGAUGAACAGAAGGGUUCAUAAAGGGGGUCCUUCCUGGUGUGCACGCGAGAGAUGGUGCUCACCGUCCCCUCAUCAGAGCAUCUUGCAUUCACAUCUCUGGGUAAGUGAUGUGGAUGGAAUCAACUUAUUUUACCAUGAGAUUCAUUUCAGGUAUUCAGGUGAAAAAAUGAAAAUAUUCUAUCAGUUCUAGCCAGCAUGUUCUCCUGAUUUAUAUUUUUCAGAUUUUUGCUUUUCAGCUUGUGAGUGCAGAACCAUUCACGAGUGUGCAGGCAGUGCUGACUGAGUGUGGCACAGUAGAUAUCGUGGCAUUUCGGCAGGGAGGCAGGGAGGAAGGGGUGGUAUUUCUAGAAAUGGCAUAAACCUUGGAGUACUGCAUGAAGCCAGCGAGAGCUGCUGGUGGGUCCUGCAUUGAAGGCAUUGAACGAGGUUGUCCGCAGGGGCCUAUAGGAGAGGUGUGUUCACAGACACAUUAUACACUGUGUUUGUCAGGUUCCAGGAAGAUACCAUCAUAAAGAUCAUCAUGACCAAGACUUUGCUUGUGUCUAAGUAAGUGAUGCUGUGGGCCUUCGCACCUAUGCGCAGUCUGAUCAACAGAUGUGUGGGUAAGCGUGGGUGGUUUCCUAGGUUUUAUGUACUGUGUUUUUUUGCAGGUAUUCAGUUAAGAAAUGAUGUUGUCCCAAUCAGUGACAUUCAGCCAUAGCCAUAUUGUCUUAAUGUAUACAUGUAAUGUGCCUUUACCCUUCAUGGUGACUAAGGUUGUGCACGUGGCUCUAGGUUAUCCUAGUGUGGACACCAAGGGAUUGACUUUGAGGUUCCUGCCAGUGCUCAGGGGUGCUAUGUUUCUGGCCAUGGAAUUGACACUGAAGAUCUGAAAGGCCCAGGUAGUAUUGAUGGUUCCCUUAAGGUCUUAAGUAACUAAGGUUAUUUGCUGGGUGUGUCUCAUUUGCAUUUGUUUGUUUGUUUUUUCCUCUUUCUUGUAAAGUGAAUUUUUCCCCUCCGUCUUUAAACACACUUGACCUGUAAGUUUUUAAAAGUCACAACUCUCUUGAGAACAAUGUGAACCUAACAGUGGUCGUGAACGAGACGUGGCUAAUAAGCAGGCUUGUGACAGAGUGGCUUUUAUCUUUUAUCGCAGGGCAGGUCACUUGACCUCAGACAUCUAGGUAAGUGAGGAUAGUCUUUUGCUUGUGUCCUGUUAAGUUCUUUGCUGGUAAACAGGUAUGUGAUGAUGUGCCAAUAACUGAGAGACAUUUUCAGUGUUGGUGGUUUAAAAAAAUGUUUUAUAUUUACCUUGUUUUUGUCAUUAUUAUUGUUAUAGAACGAAUUCUCUCUAAUAAUACUCAUAAUACUAAUAAGACUUUUGCAUUCUUCUUUAGUGAUAUCAUGCAUUUAACUACUAAUGAAAGACAGACAUGGAUGUAUUCGUGUUCGUGAUCCUGUUGAGCAUCACAGCAGUGUUGGCUCAGGGACUCUUGCAGGGAACCCUUCGGAGAAGAAGGGAUCUCUUCCUAGGGUUUGACCUCCGUGUCUGCAAGCAGGUCCCCAGCCUGAGGCUAACGCAUCAUGGAAAGCUCAUCCAUGUUAGUGAAUGUGGACGUUGUUGGCAUGGAGGUGAAGGAUGCGGGAGGCCUGAACCACCACGCAGAUAGUCAUCAUUCGUAUAUCUGGGUAAUGACGAUGUGCCCUCACCCUCUGGUUAUCAUGACUCUUUUGCAGGUAACCAGAUAAGAAAUUACAGAGAUUUUACCAAUUUUAGCCACCAUGUUAUCCUGUAGUUUUAUAUUUUAGAAAAAUU